CGGAGUGCCGUGUUAUGACUCUAUACCUCUUCAAAAUACAGCAGCGUCUCACAUAGUGAUGCAGCGAAGUUAUGUCGACAAGCAACGAAGUUAACGUCUUCAGUUUAGGAUUCCUUAAUAUUAUUCUUGAAUUUAAUAUUCUUGAUCGAUCAAUUUUUUGGCUCUUAAACAUUUUCUUAAAACCUUUUUUUGUUAAUUACAUAAUUUGUUUACGAAUGAUCUGAUCUCAUUUUUAAAAAUAUUUUAGGUUAAAAAAU
rnacentral:lncRNA from 1 species